ACAUAAAAAAUAAUUACAACAUGAUAGGUGUGCUGUAACCCAGACCUUUAAAAACGGCUGUGGCAACACAGCAGAGAGGCAGGCUGUCAGGGGAGUUCAGCAAGGCUUGGAUUUGAGCUGGGUCCUGAAAGAUGAGCACACAUUCCUGGGGUGCAAGAAGAAUGGAAGGGCAUUCCAGGUGGAGAACAACAUGUGCCAAGGUACGUGAAGGUCCUAUUAUGCAAGCCUGCCACCUAUUCAGGACCCCAAAUGUUCGUGAUUUACUGAUAAGGUAUAAACUCUCCGAUUUGUAAUCUAAUUCUCCUAAGAAAAGCUGCCUUCGAAGCAGUGAAAGCAGUGAGGAAAUCCAAGAAGCUGAAUCCACAGGCCAGGAUUAAAAGGAUGACUGCCCCCUCAGGAAUAAUAAUCACCAAGGAGUCUGAACACAAGAGCCCUUAUUUACAGAUUGGCGACUUGGUCCCUGGUGGAACGUGAACAUUGACCCAGCAUCUGUCAUCAUCAUCACAUCUUACAUCACCAGCAUUUCAACAUGGUUCUUUGGUUGUCACUUUAUUCUAUUUUUGUUCAGCUUCACGCUGCCAUCUUUAAAGCAGUGCACAGGUCAAGUGAACAGAAGCCACUUCUCAUGAAAGACACAAAGAGGUGAGCCCUUUGGGCACCUGGCAUGGUAGGCAGCAAGGAGCUGAGUGGUGGUUAAAACCACCAGUGCUGGGGGCAGUUCCCAUCGUGGCUCAGAGGAUGUAUCCAUGAGGAUGCAGGUUUG